rnacentral:rRNA from 1 species
AUUGAACGCUGGCGGUAUGCCUUACACAUGCAAGUCGAACGGUAGAGGGGCAACCCUUGAGAGUGGCGAACGGGUGAGUAAUACAUCGGAACGUGCCCAGUCGUGGGGGAUAACGUAGCGAAAGCUACGCUAAUACCGCAUACGACCUGAGGGUGAAAGCGGGGGAUCGCAAGACCUCGCGCGAUCGGAGCGGCCGAUGGCAGAUUAGGUAGUUGGUGGGGUAAAGGCCUACCAAGCCUGCGAUCUGUAGCUGGUCUGAGAGGACGACCAGCCACACUGGGACUGAGACACGGCCCAGACUCCUACGGGAGGCAGCAGUGGGGAAUUUUGGACAAUGGGCGAAAGCCUGAUCCAGCCAUACCGCGUGCGGGAAGAAGGCCUUCGGGUUGUAAACCGCUUUUGUCAGGGAAGAAAUCUUCUGGGUUAAUACCUCGGGAGGAUGACGGUACCUGAAAAAUAAGCACCGGCUAACUACGUGCCAGCAGCCGCCGCCG